AUUAGCUAGUUGGAGGGGUAACGGCCCACCAAGGCAACGAUCAGUAGCCGGUCUGAGAGGAUGAACGGCCACACUGGGACUGAGACACGGCCCAGACUCCUACGGGAGGCAGCAGUGGGGAAUCUUCCGCAAUGGACGAAAGUCUGACGGAGCGACGCCGCGUGAGUGAAGAAGGCCUUCGGGUCGUAAAGCUCUGUCAUCAGGGACGAACGGCCGGUGGAGUGGAAAGCCACCGGAUUGACGGUACCUGAGAAGGAAGCCACGGCUAACUACGUGCCAGCAGCCGCGGUAAUACGUAGGUGGCAAGCGUUGUCCGGAAUUAUUGGGCGUAAAGCGCGCGCAGGUGGGAUCUUAAGUCCAUUUUUAAAGUUCGGAGCUCAACUCCGUGAUGGGAUGGAAACUGGGAUUCUUGAGUAUCGGAGAGGAAAGCGGAAUUCCCCGUGUAGCGGUGAAAUGCGUAGAUAUGGGGAGGAACACCAGUGGCGAAGGCGGCUUUCUGGACGAUGUCUGACACUGAGGCGCGAAAGCUAGGGGAGCGAACGGGAUUAGAUACCCCGGUAGUCCUAGCCGUAAAC
rnacentral:rRNA from 1 species